AACCCUGGCGGCGAGCGGCGAACGGGUGAGUAAUACAUCGGAACGUGUCCAGUUGUGGGGGAUAACCAGUCGAAAGACUGGCUAAUACCGCAUACGAUCUACGGAUGAAAGCGGGGGAUCGCAAGACCUCGCGCUAUUGGAGCGGCCGAUGUCCGAUUAGCUAGUUGGCGGGGUAACGGCCCACCAAGGCGACGAUCGGUAGCUGGUCUGAGAGGAUGAUCAGCCACACUGGAACUGAGACACGGUCCAGACUCCUACGGGAGGCAGCAGUGGGGAAUUUUGGACAAUGGGGGCAACCCUGAUCCAGCCAUGCCGCGUGAGUGAAGAAGGCCUUCGGGUUGUAAAGCUCUUUCGGCGGGGACGAAACGGUUCGUGCCAACACCACGGACUAAUGACGGUACUCGCAGAAGAAGCACCGGCUAACUACGUGCCAGCAGCCGCGGUAAUACGUAGGGUGCAGGCGUUAAUCGGAAUUACUGGGCGUAAAGCGUGCGCAGGCGGCUCCUUAAGUCAGAUGUGAAAGCCCCGGGCUUAACCUGGGAAC
rnacentral:rRNA from 1 species